ACGCUCGACACCUACGGGAGCAGCAGUGGGGGAUAUUGCACAAUGGGGGAAACCCUGAUGCAGCAACGCCGCGUGAAGGAAGAAGGUCUUCGGAUUGUAAACUUCUGUCCUCAGGGAAGAUAAUGACGGUACCUGAGGAGGAAGCUCCGGCUAACUACGUGCCGNNGCGCGUAUCUGAGCGGCGUGNGAGNG
rnacentral:rRNA from 1 species